AUUGAACGCUGGCGGCAGGCCUAACACAUGCAAGUCGAGCGGAUGAAGGGAGCUUGCUCCUGGAUUCAGCGGCGGACGGGUGAGUAAUGCCUAGGAAUCUGCCUGGUAGUGGGGGAUAACGUCCGGAAACGGGCGCUAAUACCGCAUACGUCCUGAGGGAGAAAGUGGGGGAUCUUCGGACCUCACGCUAUCAGAUGAGCCUAGGUCGGAUUAGCUAGUUGGUGGGGUAAAGGCCUACCAAGGCGACGAUCCGUAACUGGUCUGAGAGGAUGAUCAGUCACACUGGAACUGAGACACGGUCCAGACUCCUACGGGAGGCAGCAGUGGGGAAUAUUGGACAAUGGGCGAAAGCCUGAUCCAGCCAUGCCGCGUGUGUGAAGAAGGUCUUCGGAUUGUAAAGCACUUUAAGUUGGGAGGAAGGGCAGUAAGUUAAGACCUUGCUGUUUUGACGUUACCAACAGAAUAAGCACCGGCUAACUGCGU
rnacentral:rRNA from 1 species